rnacentral:misc_RNA from 1 species
AUUUUGGCGUCUGCUUGUGGUCAUCCUUUUUGUGUUGAAUGUUGGAAAGGGUAUAUUUCUAAUUCAAUAACUGAUGGUCCUGGAUGCUUGAAUUUGCGAUGUGCAGAACCCUCUUGUAAAGUUGCUGUUUCACAGGAUAUGAUUGAUCGGUUAGCAUCUGAUGAUGAUAAAAAGAGGUAUUAUGGAUUUCUUUUUCGUUCUUAUGUUGAGGAAAAUAGGAAGAUUAAGUGGUGUCCUGCUCCUGGAUGUAAUUUUGCAGUUGAAUUUGAUAUAGGGAGUGAUAAUUGUGAAGUUAUAUGUGUCUGUUCGAAUUAUUUUUGUUGGAGUUGUACAGAGGAAGCUCAUAGUCCGGUUGAUUGUGAUAUGGUGGUUAAGUGGAUGGAGAAAAAUAAUGCAGAAUCAGAGAACACAAAUUGGAUUUUGGCUUACACAAAGGCUUGUCCAAAAUGCAAGAGGCCAAUUGAAAAGAAUGAAGGGUGUAUGCGUAUGACUUGUCGAGACCCUUGCAAGUAUCAGUUUUGUUGGUUGUGCCUUAAUUCCUGGUCAGUUCAUGGUUAUAAUUCAUGUAACAAGUACAUGCCAGGGAAUGAAGAUGACCAAAAGAAAGAAAUGGCCAAGCAAUCUAUUGAGAAGUACACUCAUUAUUAUGAGAGAUGGGCUGCUAAUGAGAAGUCAAGGAGAAAA